rnacentral:rRNA from 1 species
GACGAACGCUGGCGGCGUGCUUAACACAUGCAAGUCGAACGGAAAGGCCCUGCUUUUGUGGGGUGCUCGAGUGGCGCGCGGGUGAAUAACACGUGAGUAACCUGCCCUUGGCUGUGGGAUAACUUCAGGAAACUGGGGCUAAUACCGGAUAGGAGCUCCUGCUGCAGGGUGGGGGUUGGAAAGUUUCGGCGGUUGGGGAUGGACUCGCGGCUUAUCAGCUUGUUGGUGGGGUAGUGGCUUACCAGGGCUUUGACGGGUAGCCGGCCUGAGAGGGUGACCGGCCACAUUGGGCCUGAGAUACGGCCCAGACUCCUACGGGAGGCAGCAGUGGGGAAUAUUGCACAAUGGGCGGAAGCCUGAUGCAGCAGCGUCGCGUGCGGGAUGACGGCCUUCGGGUUGUAAACCGCUUUCGCCUGUGACGAAGCGUGAGUGACGGUAAUGGGUAAAGAAGCACCGGCUAACUACGUG